GUUGCCCAGGGCCCCAUCCAACCUGGCCUUGAACACCUCCAGGGACAGGACAUCCACAACCUCUCUGGGCAGCCUGUUCCAGCACCUCAGCACUCUCCUGGUAAAGAACUUCCCCCUAACAUCCAACCUAAAUCUUCCCUCUUUCAACUUAAAACCGUUCCCCCUUGUCCUGCUGUUACCUACCCUUUCAAAGAAACUUCCCCCUAACAUCCAACCUAAAUCUUCCCUCUUUCAACUUAAAACCGUUCCCCCUUGUCCUGCUGUUACCUACCCUUUCAAAGAGUUUACUCCCUUCCUGUUUAUAGGCUCCCUUCAGGUACUGAAAGGCUGCAAUGAGGUCACCCC
ensembl:lncRNA